GACGUAUAGAGCCAGUGUUAUUUUUCGUAAUUUGGCGUAAAGGGUGCGUAGGCGGUAAGUUAAACAUGAGUGAGUGAGACAUAGGUAUAACUGUGGCAGCUAUCAAUGAACUGACAAACUGGAAUUAAUAAGAAGUAAGCGGUAUUUGUGGGGGUUACAGGUGAAAAAGGUAGAUCCCAUAGGGACGAUCAAAGGCAGAGGCAGCUUACUAUUAAAAAUUGACGCUGAGGCACGAAGGCAUGGGUAUCAAAUGGG
rnacentral:rRNA from 1 species